rnacentral:rRNA from 1 species
GACGAACGCUGGCGGCGUGCUUAACACAUGCAAGUCGAACGGAAAGGCCCUGCUUUUGUGGGGUGCUCGAGUGGCGAACGGGUGAGUAACACGUGAGUAACCUGCCCUUGACUUUGGGAUAACUUCAGGAAACUGGGGCUAAUACCGGAUAGGAGCUCCUGCUGCAUGGUGGGGGUUGGAAAGUUUCGGCGGUUGGGGAUGGACUCGCGGCGUAUCAGCUUGUUGGGGGGGUAGUGGCUUACCAAGGCUUUGACGGGUAGCCGGCCUGAGAGGGUGACCGGCCAAAUUGGGACUGAGAUACGGCCCAGACUCCUACGGGAGGCAGCAGUGGGGAAUAGUGCAUAAUGGGCGGAAGCCUGAUGCAGCAACGCCGCGUGCGGGAUGACGGCCUUCGGGUUGUAAACCGCUUUCGCCUGUGACGAAGCGUGAGUGACGGUAAUGGGUAAAGAAGCACCGGCUAACUACGUG